rnacentral:lncRNA from 1 species
UCAGCCGCACAUACACCUGGGCUCAUCCUCUUGCCUGAUCAAGUCCCAUCUCUCCCUACCUCAAAGCUUCUUCCGCUCCGUAAGCCGCUUGCUCAAGGGUCCUAGGCUGGGUGAACCAGGACCCCACCACCCUGCGCCACCUGCACAAAUGUGGUUGCUCUACAGAGUACAGGGGGCAUCUAUGAUUCCAGAAAACAGGUGGGGGCUGCCAUAGGCUCUGUGUGGUUUGCAGGGCUGACCACAGGCUCUGCUUGGCAGAGAGAACACAAUGCUAAGGGGAGCCCAAGAUGCCAAGGUUUGCAGCACCUCCUGGCUGCAGCGCCUCCUGGUAGACUGAGCUUGGACAAUGGGUUUUGUUCUCAAUGGCCUUGGUUUUCCCAGAAAUAAAAAGGGGCUCUCUCCCAGAA